CGGUGGAGCAUGUGGUUUAAUUCGACGCAACGCGCAGAACCUUACCUGGUCUUGACAUCCUAGGAACUCCCCAGAGAUGGAGUCCCGGCCUAAACAGGUGUGACGAGCGCAACCCUCGCCUUUAGUUGCCAUCGGGAUGUCAAGUCUCAUGGCCUUUAUGACCAGGCUACAUACAUGGCCGGUACAAGCGCUGCCAAGUCGCGAGACGGAGCCUCGCAAAAAACCGGUCUCAGUUCGGAUUGAAGUGCAACUCGACUUCAUGAAGUCGGAAUCGCUAGUAAUCGGGAUCAGCACGCCGCGGUGAAUACGUUCCCGGGCCUUGUACACACCGCCGUCACACCAUGGGAGUCAGUUGCUCCAGAAGUGGCCGAGCCAACCCGCAAGGAGGCAGGCCCCUAAGAGUGACUGGUGACUGGGGUGAAGUCGUACAAGGU
rnacentral:rRNA from 1 species